UACGAAGGGGGGCUAGCGUUGCUCGGAAUCACUGGGCGUAAAGCGCACGUAGGCGGACUCUUAAGUCGGUGGUGAAAUCCUGGAGCUCAACUCCAGAACUGCCUUCGAUACUGAGAGUCUCGAGUCCGGGGAGAGGUGAGUGGAACUGCGAGUGUAGAGGUGAAAUUCGUAGAUAUUCGCAAGAACACCAGUGGCGAAGGCGGCUCACUGGCCCGGUACUGACGCUGAGGUGCGAAAGCGUGGGGAGCAAACAGG
rnacentral:rRNA from 1 species